GGAUUUUUUAUUUAAAUUGUUUUCUGGCUAGACGACGCUGGCGGCGUGGAUAAGACAUGCAAGUCGAACGCUGAUUACGAUGCAGCAAUGUAGCGUAGUCGGAGUGGCGCAAGGGUGCGUAACACGUGGGUAAUUUGCCGUGAAGUCGGGGAUAACUUGCUGAAAGGCGAGCUAAUACCGGAUGUGAUCAUCGGAAGGCAUCUUUUGAUGAUUGAAGUUGGGGACCGUAAGGCCUGACGCUUCACGAUAAGCCCGCGGCCUAUCAGCUAGUUGGUGAGGUAACGGCUCACCAAGGCUAAGACGGGUAGCUGGUCUGAGAGGACGACCAGUCACACUGGAACUGAGACACGGUCCAGACACCUACGGGUGGCAGCAGUCGAGAAUUUUUCUCAAUGGGCGAAAGCCUGAAGGAGCGACGCCGCGUGGGGGAUGAAUGGCUUCGGCCCGUAAACCGCUGUCAUUCGCGAACAAUGCGCAUUAUUUAAAAGAUGAUGCGUUGAUAGUAGCGGAAGAGGAAGGGACGGCUAACUCUGUGCCAGCAGCCGCGGUAAUACAGAGGUCCCAAGCGUUGUUCGGAUUCACUGGGCGUAAAGGGUGCGUAGGUGGCGAGGUAAGUCGGAUGUGAAAUCUCCAAGCUCAACUUGGAAAUGGCAUUGGAAACUGCUUGGCUAGAGGUUUUGAGGGGGGACUGGAAUUCUCGGUGUAGCAGUGAAAUGCGUAGAUAUCGAGAGGAACACCAGUGGCGAAGGCGAGUCCCUGGAAAACACCUGACACUGAGGCACGAAAGCUAGGGAGCAAACAGGAUUAGAUACCCUGAUAGUCCUAGCCGUAAACGGUGCUGCUGCUGUAAAAGAUCGACCCCUUUGUGGCGAGCACGCGUAGCAGCGCUGGGAGUACGUCGCAG
rnacentral:rRNA from 1 species